UUGACCUCGGAUCAGGUAGGGAUACCCGCUGAACUUAAGCAUAUCAAUAAGCGGAGGAAAAGAAACCAACAGGGAUUGCCUCAGUAACGGCGAGUGAAGCGGCAACAGCUCAAAUUUGAAAUCUGGCUCCUUCGGGGUCCGAAUUGUAAUUUGUAGAGAGUGCUUCGGGCGAGACCUCGGUCUAAGUCCAUUGGAACAUGGUGUCAUAGAGGGUGAGAAUCCCGUAUGCGACCGUGGCUCGAGCCCAUGUGAAGCCUCUUCGACGAGUCGAGUUGUUUGGGAAUGCAGCUCAAAAUGGGUGGUAAAUUUCAUCUAAAGCUAAAUACUGGCUGGAGACCGAUAGCGCACAAGUAGAGUGAUCGAAAGAUGAAAAGCACUUUGGAAAGAGAGUCAAACAGUACGUGAAAUUGUUGAAAGGGAAGCGCUUGCAACCAGACCUGCCCGUAGGCGAUCCGCCGCUGUUCUCAGCGGUGUACUCGCUCUGCGAUCAGGCCAGCAUCGGUUUCGGCGGUCGGAUAAAGGCCUUGGGAAUGUAGCUUCCCCUCGGGGGAGUCUUAUAGCCCUCGGUGUAAUGCGGCCAGCUGGGACCGAGGACCGCGCUUCGGCUAGGAUGCUGGCGUAAUGGUUGUAAGCGACCCGUCUUGAAACACGGACCAAGGAGUCUAACAUCUAUGCGAGUGUUUGGGUGUCAAACCCAUACGCGAAAUGAAAGUGAACGGAGGUGAGAACCCUUAAGGGCGCAUCAUCGACCGAUCCAGAUGUCUUCGGAUGGAUUUGAGUAUGAGCAUAGCUGUUGGGACCCGAAAGAUGGUGAACUAUGCCUGAAUAGGGUGAAGCCAGAGGAAACUCUGGUGGAGGCUCGCAGCGGUUCUGAACGUGCA
rnacentral:rRNA from 1 species